rnacentral:rRNA from 1 species
ACGGUUUCCUCUUCGGAGGCACCUGCACAGGUGCUGCAUGGCUGUCGUCAGCUCGUGUCGUGAGAUGUUGGGUUAAGUCCCGCAACGAGCGCAACCCUUAUCCCUAGUUGCCAUCAGGUAAAGCUGGGGAACUCUGGGGAGACUGCCGGUGAUAAACCGGAGGAAGGCGGGGAUGACGUCAAGUCCUCAUGGCCCUUACAUCCCGGGCUACACACGUGCUACAAUGGCAGGUACAGAGGGCUGCGAAGCCGCGAGGUGGAGCGAAUCCCAGAAAACCUGUCUCAGUCCGGAUUGAAGUCUGCAACUCGACUUCAUGAAGGCGGAAUCGCUAGUAACCGCGAAUCAGCAGGUCGCGGUGAAUACGUUCCCGGGCCUU